rnacentral:tRNA from 1 species
GCCACCUUAGCUCAGUGGUAGAGCAGCUGUUUCGUAAACAGCAGGUCGUCGGUUCAAUCCCGACAGGUGGCU